ACAGAUCGUUCAGAGUUUGAUCCUGGCUCAGGAUGAACGCUAGCGGAGGCCUAACACAUGCAAGCCGAGCGGUAUUGUUUCUUCGGAAAUGAGAGAGCGGCGUACGGGUGCGGAACACGUGUGCAACCUGCCUUUAUCUGGGGGAUAGCCUUUCGAAAGGAAGAUUAAUACUCCAUAACAUAUUGAUUGGCAUCAAUUAAUAUUGAAAGCUCCGGCGGAUAGAGAUGGGCACGCGCAAGAUUAGCUAGUUGGUGAGGUAACGGCUCACCAAGGCGAUGAUCUUUAGGGGGCCUGAGAGGGUGAUCCCCCACACUGGUACUGAGACACGGACCAG
rnacentral:rRNA from 1 species